rnacentral:rRNA from 1 species
GGAUUAGAUACCCGGGUAGUCCACGCUGUAAACGAUGAAAACUAGAUGUUGGUAGGCUUAGACCUAUCAGUAUCGCAGCUAACGCGAUAAGUUUUCCGCCUGGGGAGUACGGUCGCAAGAUUAAAACUCAAAGAAAUUGACGGGGGCCCGCACAAGCGGUGGAGCAUGUGGUUUAAUUCGAUGCAACGCGAAGAACCUUACCUACCCUUGACAUCCAGAGAAUUCUGCAGAGAUGCGGAAGUGCCGAAAGGAACUCUGAGACAGGUGCUGCAUGGCUGUCGUCAGCUCGUGUUGUGAGAUGUUGGGUUAAGUCCCGUAACGAGCGCAACCCUUAUCCUUAGUUGCCAACACGUCAUGGUGGGGACUCUAAGGAGACUGCUGGUGAUG